AGCAUUAGGCAGUUAAGUGCCUUUACCUUCUUUUAAGGCAGAAUUCGCUAAUCAAGUAUGUUCAGAAGAAACUUUCCCAUAUAACCCCCUAUGGAAGCGUUUACUGUGAACUCACAGCAUCUGUUAAAAGAUUUGUUGUUGAUGAUGUUGAUAGCACCUCACUUACUGUGCGAAUGAUUCGGAGGCGCUCACAUGCUGCCCACAUUGCCAAUUUUCUGGUGUCAGGUCAAAAUCAUUCUUCUUGCAGGGGGCAUAUCUAAGGUUUCUAAGAGCUCCAGGCAGUGCCACUCAGUACUAACUCUCAUUAUGGAAAUUAGGCAGCAGUAGUAGCUGCUAAUCUGAUAGCAGUUAGACUGUUCCUGACAGCUAUUUUCAUUUGGAACAUGAGAAACAAAGGAAGACAGGAUUUCUGCAAUCAAUCAAUAUAAGACGAGGAUAAUGAGGAUAAAUUGGAGAGAAUAAUCUACAUUUAGUCAAAAUCCUCAGUUUGUGAGAGCUAGUACUAGCUCAAGACUUGAUCACAUCCAAUCAAUAAAGAAAGCUGUGGGAAGUAUGAGCAAAAGUUAUCAGCCCUAUUGAAAGAAGAAGAGACUCUUGGUUUUUCUAAAUCUUUGGGCUAGCCUUGAUACAUGUUCUAAAUUCAGCUCUACAAUCUUUGUACUAGCAUAACACUAUGGCUACAAAUGAUUAAAAUCAGUAGCAUAAGUUACUUUGCGCAGGUCGCCCUCGGGAAGUGAGGGGAGCCGAAUGUCCACUUGCAAAGCUUUCAAGUUGCCAUGAGCAGGAGGGAGGGAGAACUGAUAGAUUGAUUUCCCUAACUGAAGUGCAUUCCAUACAUUCUUCCCGACCGAAAUCAGAAGGAGGGUGUUGGAUUUCACAGCCAGCCAAAGUGUUUAAUUGGAGAAUGUGAUUUAUGACAUGGCCAGAGAGGAGGGGAGAGACAGGAUCAUAGGGGAACGUAAAUCUACGUGGGAUUAGUUCUAACUGCAUCCGAAUAUUGCCGAAAUAGUGCUUCUAAUAAAUGACUGUAUUUCUUUUGAA